rnacentral:rRNA from 1 species
GCCGGCAGCUAGCUCUCUGCAACUCUCACAUGGUUGCCCACUGAAGCUAAGCAGGGCUGCGCCCGGUCAGUACCUGGAUGGGAGACCACUUGGGAAAGCUAGGUUGCUGCUGGAA